GGAUCUUUGGGUUCAGUUGAGAGU
rnacentral:piRNA from 1 species